AGCAAAAGAAGAGAAACUCAAGGAGGAAAAACUAAAGGCGGAGAAACUUAAGGAAGCAGCAACUAAAGCGGACGCAACGACGAUGGAACCUCCAAAAUUCAUUGGUCCAACUCUCACUGGUCAACAACUAUUCAACAACCUUUUCUAUGAAGCGUUAGGAAACACAAUGCGACAGAUUAUUUCAAAGAAUCCCGAGCUCAAGGAGAACCUUGGAGAGGAUUGGGAUCCCGUGACUCUGAUGAGACCUAAGCAUUCAUCUCAUCCGAAAACUGCGUAGAGGGGAUAAGUUGGAGAAAAAUAGAUGGAUUUUGGUAGAAGGGAAGGAAAAGUGGAUUGUCGAAAGUUUUUGAAAUUAAUUGGGAGAAAAUGAAAUAAAUUGAAUGUUGGCAAAAUUA